rnacentral:rRNA from 1 species
UACGUAGGCAGCAAGCGUUGUUCGGAGUUACUGGGCGUAAAGGGUGCGUAGGCGGUUGUUUAAGUUUGGUGUGAAAUCUCCCGGCUCAACUGGGAGGUGCGCCGAAUACUGAAUGACUAAGAGUGCGGGAGAGGAGAGUGGAAUUCCUGGUGUAGCGGUGAAAUGCGUAGAUAUCAGGAGAACACCGGUGGUGUAGACGGCUCUCUGGACCGUAACUGACGCUGAGGCACGAAAGCGUGGGUAGCAAACAGG